rnacentral:rRNA from 1 species
ACUUAAAGGAAUUGGCGGGGGAGCACCGCAACGGGAGGAGCGUGCGGUUCAAUUGGAUUCAACGCCGAAAAACUCACCAGGAGCGACGGAUAUAUGAAGGUCAAGCUGAUGACUUUACCUGAUUUUCCGANAGGUGGUGCAUGGCCGUCGUCAGUUCGUACCGUAAGGCGUUCUCUUAAGUGAGAUAACGAACGAGACCCUCACCAUUAAUUGCUAGUCCCUUCUCCGGAGGGGGCGCACAUUAAUGGGACCGCUGGCGCUAAGUCAGAGGAAGGAGAGGUCAACGGUAGGUCCGUAUGCCCCGAAUCCCCUGGGCAACACGCGCGCUACAAAGGGUGGGACAAUGGGCUUCGACACCGAAAGGUGAAGACAAUCCUGAAACCCAUCCAUAGUUCGG